UGUUAUCAGAGUUGCUUGAGCUUGAGCUUUUUGUGAAGCAGUAGAAGUAGAAGUUCCGAAAAAUUACAGAAUAUUUGGCUGAGUAGCUCAGUGAAGCAGUCAAUAUUCAAGAUUUAAUCCCACUCAUCAAAGCUUCAGAACCAACACUUAACAGUCUGAGCUAAUUGAUCAGUCUCACCUUCUAUUUCCUUCCAAUAUUGACUGUUAACUUUAGGACAUUGACUUCCAAAUUACCUUAACAAGCUGGGGAUUGAACCAACAACCUAAGAAUGUAAAGUCUGUGAUCUACCUUGCCAAGAUACCCAGCGAGACAUCCCUAAACAAGCUAGGGAUUGAACCUAUAAUCUCAAAACUUCAAAUAUGACAUCUUCUUCACUGAGCUACUCAGGCAGACAUUUGAAGUUUUGAGAUUGUUGGUUCAAUCCCCAGCUUGUUCAGAGACAUUUAAAGUCAUUGACCCAAAGUAAACAGUCAAUAUUCAAGAUUCAUUCCAUUGGUUCACAAAUCAAAGUUUUAAAUUUUGAGCACGUGUUUUGACUCAUUUCUUUUCUUUGAAAUCACCAAUGUAAUGUACAUGUUGUUGCUGUGAAGUAUUCAGGCUCCUCCCAAGAUUUUAUAAUAUAUAUUGAUCUGAUAUACAACUGUUUUUAAGGCUCUCUCUAGAAAUAUCUUGGGACAGUGAUUAAUUCUCUAUUUUUAUUGUUGAUUAUUUGGGAAUUUUCUCAAAUCGUUUGGUCUAUCAUAUGGUCAGGUGAAAUGAGCCAUCACAAUAUCUCAAAGUUCAAGGUGGAAACUGUUUUAAAUGUCUAACCCCCAACACACUUUCACGAAUAGGUGCAUUCUUUACAUUUGUUCCUCAUAUUUGUAUAAUUUUGCCUUUCUUAUGUUUUCUACUGUGUGUAUGGUGUGUGAGUGUUAACCAGUCACUGUGAUCACAUUUAAUCCUCACUUAGCUCCCCCUAGUGGUCAAUGGGAUUAACAGCUGACUUUGAAAUGUGUAACGGAAAAAUUAUCAAAUUUGAUAAUAUAGCAGAAUAAACUCAAGUAUGUUUCUGAUUGUUUGGACAGUUAAAUAGUUUAUGUUUCAGAAACAAACUUCACCCCUGUGGACUCAUCCUUGGUACAUUGCAAGUAGCCGCCCCCUUUUUUCCUCUAUACCUUCCAUUGGAAUCCUCCACUUCCUGUUUGCCAGUAGUCACUUCCGCAUUGAGCUGGUGAACGCAGAACAAAUAUUUGUGCACAUGAUCUACGGACCUCGUCAACCCUCAUUCGCAGUUCAUCCGUCUUUACCAGUGAGUCCACUCCAUUCCUCAAACUCUGAUUGUUAAAUUCUCCUGCUUUUCAAUAUCUUUACCAUAAUUUGAGCGGAAUGAUACUUAGCCUAAAGUGCGUGAACCUUACAAAGGUUCCUUCAAAAAAAAAAGAUUGGUCAAGUCAGGUCAUUUGGUAAAUAGAAGUUAAACCACUUAUAUAUGUGUCAUCUAGUGGUGCAAUGCUAAAGGCAUUGUCUCUGAAGUGAAAGGUUGACAGUUCAAUCCCUGUUCAAGACAAGGGUAAAUUUCUCCAAUUUUUAGUGGUUUUGGCUUUUGGGGGGGUUUUGUGUUUUUUUAACUGAUGUUUUUCAUUUUUUUGUAUUUUUAAAAAAAGUUUUAUUUCAUUUGUAAUUAUUUUAUUCAGAAAUAUUUGAUUUGAUUUAUUUUUACCUCUCAUCGCACUGUCACUUUCACCAUGCUAACCAGUGUGUCCUACGUUUCUCCAAGUGUUGUGGGGAACCUCUCAAGUGAAUAUCUCUUCACAAUCACCAUAUAGAUUAUUUUCUCCUGCUUUCCUCUACCCAUUGACUUGAGGAAACUUCAGGUCCGUGUUUCAAUCACAGAAUCUCGUUCAGCCAUGUUUGACUUGGCACUCAGUCUGUUUCAAUCACAGAAACUCGUUGGUCCAUGUUUGACUUCGCUUUCAGUCUUGAACCCUGGGUCUGUCGCACCCGAGCCUCGCGUCUUACCGCUCGACCACCAUCUUUCACACUAAAGGUGGUCCUGUUUGUUCUCAUGAACAUCAGACAUUCAAGAGGGAAAAUUGUAAAGUUGUUAAAGGCAGGAGUUGAACCUUGGACCUCAAUAUCUACAUAGCUGUAUCAUUGCCUCUAAACCACAGAAUUCGUUACUAAGUGAAUUACUCACCUAAGAUAUGUAGGUUUUGUUUUGUUGAAUGAUUUCACAAAAAUGACUCCAGUCGAACUUGAUCCAUCAACCUUCUGCAGGAGAGUCCAAAAUGCAGCCACUGUACUACCAUCUUACUCAGGGUAAAGCCCAGUUUCUUCAAAUUGAAUUUACUGUCGGCUUUUCGGAGGACAAACUACUAAAGUUUUCAGUCAACUUGUUUUUGUUUUGUAGGAUUUAUAUAAAUGAAAACACUUCUACAAAGUUCAUGUUAAACAUCUUCACUCACAAAUAAGUUUAAAUGUAUGUUUCAUAUGAAUUCCAAAAGGAGGUGGGACUUGAUCUGACAACCAUUGGCAUAAGAGUCUAAAAUCUUACCAAUGUACUACCAUCUUACUCACAACAUAGUCCAGUUUCCUCACAUUUAAUUUGCUGUCGGCUUUCGAGAGGACAAACUGCUAAAGUUUUCAGUCAAGUUGUUUGUGUUUUGUAGGAUUUAUGUGAAUAAAAACACUGCUACAAAGUUUCUGUUCAACAUCUUCACUCAGAAAUAAGUUUAAAUCUAUGUUUCGUUUGAAUGAAAUCAAAAAGAGGAGGUGGGACUCAAUCUGACAACCUUUCACGUGUGAGCCAAGAACCUUUCCACUUCACCACCGUCUUUCUGGGAAUGCUUUGAUUCAGUUCUUCCCAUUUAACUUGCUGUUGGUUUUCGAGAGGACAGAACGUUUUCAGUGAACUUGUUUGUGUUGUGUAGGAUUUAUUUAAAUGAAAACAUUGCUAAAAGUGUCUGUUCAACAUCUUCACUCAGAAAUAAGUUGAAAUGGCAGUCCUUUCAUUAAAUAUUAUGCAAUGAGAUGAAACUUUUAAAAGAUCUACUGAAACCACACUUCAAAGCUUCAGGACCAACACUUAACAUGCUUGACUUUAAACAAGCUGGGGAUUGAACCAACAAUCUCAAAACUUCAACAUGAACAUCUACCUAACUAAGCUACUCAGCCAGGCAAUUUGAACAUUAGUCGGAACUUCUACUUCUUAAAAAAAAGUGGAAGAAAGUAGAAAAAAAAAUUUAAAGUAGGAGUUCCCAAAGUUUAAUAACGUCUAGCUUUGUAGCUCAGUGAGGUAAAUAUCUAAGUUAAAGUUUUGAGAUUGUUGGUUCAAUCUCCAGCUUGUUUAGAGACAUCUGAAGAUAAUGACCUAAAGUAUAGAGUUCAGUCAACAUUGAAACCACACUUCUAAGUUUCAGAACUAACAAUCUAAGCUAAUUUAUUAGAUGUCCACCUUCUAUUUCUUUCCACUAUAGACUGUAUACUUUAGGUCAUUGACUUCCAAUUUCUCUAAACAAGCUGGGGAUUGAACCAACAACCUCAAGAUGUCACAACAGUGAUCUACCUCGCUGACCGACUCAGCCGGACAAUUACAUCUUUUUCCGAACUUCUACUUCUACUUCUUUACAAACAUCUCACACUCAAGCAAACUCAACACUUCAAAGAGUUAAGGGAGGUCAGUGGGUUAUGGUCUGUAUGGACUAUCACAGCAGCAAGACCAGAAACAAAAUAGACAUUGAAAUGAUGUGAAGCCCAGACCAAAGCAAGGGCCUCCUUUUCAAUGACUGAAUAAUUCAAUUGAUGUGAAUUAAACUUUUUUGAAAAAAUGAGCCUCCGUCUUUGUUCACCGCAGUGUUGUUGACCAUUUUGUUGUUGUUUUCUUUGCCUUGUCCAUGUUAGUAUUCGUAUUAGAUGGAUUGCAGUUCAUUCCAUUGGUUCACAAAUGAAAGUUUAAAAUUUUGAGAAUGUGUUUUGACAAAUUUCUUUUCUUUGAAAUCACCAAUGUAAUGUACAUGUUGUUGCUGUGAAGUAUUUAGGCUCCCCCCGAGAUUUUGUAAUACAUAUUGAUCUGAUAUACAAUUGUUUUUAAGGCUCUUAUUAAAAACUUAGAAAUAUCUUGGGACAGUGAUUAAUUCUCUAUUUGUAAGUUUAUUAUUUGGGAAUUUUCUCAACUCAAGUCCUAGGUGGAAACCGUUUUAAAUGUCUAACCCCACACACACUUUCACGAAUAGGUGCAUUCUUUACAUUUGUUCCUCAUAUUUGUAUAAUUUUGCCUUUCUUAUGUUUUCUACUGUGUGUAUGGUGUGUGAGUGUUAACCAGUCACUGUAAUCACAUUUAAUCCUCAUUUAGCUCCCCCUUGUGGUCAAUGGGAUUAACAGCUGACUUUGAAAUGUGUAACGAAAAAAAUUCUCAAAUUUGAUAAUAUAGCAGAAAAAACUCAAGUAUGUUUCUGGUUGUUUGGACAGUUAAAUAGUUUAUGUUUCAGAAACAAACUUCACCCCUGUGGACUCAUUCUUGGUACAUUGCAAGUAGCCGCCCCCUUUUUUCCCCCUAUACCUUCCAUUGGAAUCCUCCACUUCCUGUUUGCCAGUAGUCACUUCCGCAUGGAGCCGGCGAACGCAGAACAAAUAUUUGUGCACAUGAUCUACGGACCCCAUCAACCCCCAUUCGCAGUUCAUCUGUCUUUACCACGCACUGUCACCACGCUAACCAGUGUAUCCAACGUUGCUCCGAGUCUUGUGGGGGAUCUCACAAGUGAAUAUCUCUUCACAAUCACCACAUAGGUUAUUUCCUCCUGCUUUCCUCUACCCAUUGACGGGAAUGCCGCGCACUUGAAGAAAUUCCAGGUCCGUGUUUCAAUUGUGGGAUCUCGUUCGUCCAUGUCUGAAUCGCUUUCAGUUUUGAACCCUGGGUCUCUCGCACCAGAGCCUCGCGUCUUGCCCCUCUGCCACCAUCUUUCACACUGAAAUUGGUCCUGUUUGUUGUCAUGAACAUCAGACAUACAAGAGGGCAAAUUGUAAAAUGUAGGAGUCGAACCAUGGACCUUAAUAUGUCUAUACCCGUAUCAUUGCCUCUACGCCACAGAAUGGAAACAUUUGAUUUCGUUUUUUCUCAUCAAUGAAGCAGCAGCAGACAUUUAAGAGGACAAAUUGUAAAAUUGUUGAAGGGGGGAAUCGAACCAUGGACCUUAAUAUGUCCAUACUUUUAUCUUUACCUCUACACCACGGAACUAGUAAAAAAAUGUGAAUUACUUACGUAACAUCUGUAUGUUUUGUCUUGUUGAAUGAUUUCACAAAAAUGUCACAGUUGGGACUUGAUCCAUCAACCUCUUGCAGGAGAGUCCAAAAAUCUUACCACUGUUCUACCAUCUUACUCUGAGAACCAGUUUCUUGACAUACAAGUUGGUGUCGGCUUUCUAGAGGACAAACUGCUAAAGUUUUCAGUCAACUUGUUUGUGUUUUGUAGGAUUUAUGUAAAUUAUAAAACUGCUUCAAAGUUCAUGUUCAACAUCUCCACUCAGAAAUAAAUUUAAAUGUAUGUUUAGUUUGAAUCCCAAAAGGAGGUAGGACUUGAUCUGACAACCGAUGGAACAAGAGUCUAAAACCUUUCCACUGCACCACCAACCUACUCAACAGUCACAGGCCCAAUUUUUUCAUGUUUAAUUUGCUGUCGGCUUUCGAGAGGAAGAAAUACUAAAGUUUUCAUUCAACUUGUAUGUGUUUGUUAGGAAUGUAUGUUUUGUUUGAAGCAAAUCACAUCAGUAAUGUAGAAGUAAAGAAAAAAUUAUUAUUGAAUGUCGACUGAGUAAUAAUAUAUUUAUAUAUAUAUAUAUACAAAAUUUUAUAAGAGAUGUAAAUUUCACAAGUUCACAAAUAUUGCUGUAAAUCUGGUCAAUAAUGACUGAAAAUGUCACAUCACUUUUAUUUUCGUUAUUUUUUCUUAAAUGUGGCGACAUAUUGCUAUUUAUUUCAGCGUGCGCCACUUUGCAAUUUGUGCCCCUUAUGAACAAUGUACAAUCAGCAAACAAAUCAAUCAUGUUUUCCCCUUGAAACACAUGUGAACAGUGAAAAAGCAGCACCGGCAGAUUAAAUACACAGACAUUCUAAUAAAUGUGUUGAUAAUUUUAA